ACACUCUGGUUUCUCUUCAAAUCCUAUAAACCUUCCACCUUUUACUAAAGAUUUCCGUGGAGAGAAGCAACUCCGCGUCUAUGCCUAAAUUUUUGAGGCCUUGUUGAGACAAGGCU
ensembl:snRNA U5 U5 spliceosomal RNA